rnacentral:rRNA from 1 species
CCUACGGGUGGCAGCAGUGGGGAAUAUUGGACAAUGGGCGAAAGCCUGAUCCAGCGAUGCCGCGUGUGUGAAGAAGGCCUUCGGGUUGUAAAGCACUUUCAGUGGGGAAGAAAGCCUUGGGGCUAAUACCCUCGAGGAAGGACAUCACCCACAGAAGAAGCACCGGCUAACUCCGUGCCAGCAGCCGCGGUAAUACGGAGGGUGCGAGCGUUAAUCGGAAUUACUGGGCGUAAAGCGCGCGUAGGCGGUCUGAUAAGCCGGUUGUGAAAGCCCCGGGCUCAACCUGGGAACGGCAUCCGGAACUGUCAGGCUAGAGUGCAGGAGAGGAAGGUAGAAUUCCCGGUGUAGCGGUGAAAUGCGUAGAGAUCGGGAGGAAUACCAGUGGCGAAGGCGGCCUUCUGGACUGACACUGACGCUGAGGUGCGAAAGCGUGGGUAGCAAACAGGAUUAGAUACCCUUGUAGUC